AACGCGAAGAACCUUACCUGGGCUCGAAAUGUAGAGGACAAUACAAGAGAUUGUACUCCCGUAAGGGUCUCUAUAUAGGUGCUGCAUGGCUGUCGUCAGCUCGUGCCGUGAGGUGUUUGGUUAAGUCCAGCAACGAGCGCAACCCUUAUCGUUAGUUGCCACGCGUAAUGGCGGGAACUCUAGCGAGACUGCCGAGGUUAACUCGGAGGAAGGUGAGGAUGACGUCAAGUCCGCAUGGCCUUUAUGUCCAGGGCUACACACGUGCUACAAUGGUCGAUACAGAAGGAAGCCAAGCCGCGAGGUGGAGCAAAUCCUAUAAAAUCGAUCUCAGUUCAGAUUGCAGUCUACAACUCGGCUGCAUGAAGUUGGAAUUGCUAGUAAUGGCGUGUCAGCAACAACGCCGUGAAUACGUUCCCGGGCCUUGUACACACCGGAGUA
rnacentral:rRNA from 1 species